UACGUAGGGUGCGAGCGUUGUCCGGAAUUAUUGGGCGUAAAGAGCUCGUAGGCGGUUUGUCGCGUCUGCUGUGAAAGCCCGGGGCUCAACCCCGGGUCUGCAGUGGGUACGGGCAGACUAGAGUGCAGUAGGGGAGACUGGAAUUCCUGGUGUAGCGGUGAAAUGCGCAGAUAUCAGGAGGAACACCGAUGGCGAAGGCAGGUCUCUGGACAGUUCCUGACGCUGAGGCACGAAGGUCAGGGGAGCAAACGGG
rnacentral:rRNA from 1 species